UAUUAAAGGCAGAAAUCAAAGCACAGGACCCAUGGGAAGCGGCGUUUCAAAUGUACUCCAUCGCUUUUCUUUGUCAUUGUUCUGAACUAUGCACCCUCUGCUCCUGACAGCACACCCACAACGAGAUAAGGAGUUUGUAUGAGUAUGCAUAUGUGUCUUCUGUGGGAAAAGGAGCAAUGGCUUGCCCCGCACACUGCCCACCAGAUUGGAAGAAGAUAUAAUGAAUGCAUCUUCUCUGCAUCACAAGAAAAAGGCUAUUUCAACUUAACAGAACAUUUCAAUCUCAGUCAAAAUGGGGCAUCUUCAACAUAAGGUUGUCUGCAGUCAUGCGGUCUGCUCUGCUUCCCCAGCUCACUGGAGCCCACCUCCAGGCAGCCCAGGGCUCGGGAACCCUCUGUGCAGUGCCCUGGAGAACAGAGGGUGCAGCUGAGGAUUGGAGUAUAAAGGAAAAGAAAAGGUAUCUACUGCAGGUGCUCUCCAGCCCACUGAUUGCAUUUUCUUUGUCCUUCUGGAAUAGAGCUGGGUGACAUCUUACAGUCAAAUCCUAUUUCCCAUUAAAAAUGCAGAUUCUGGUCUAUGGAAUUAUUUAACACAUUUCUAUUUAAUUAA
rnacentral:lncRNA from 1 species